rnacentral:misc_RNA from 1 species
AAAAAAAAAGGAAGUAAUUAUGAAAAUGGAACAACUUUUAGGACUGCAAAUAUAACUAUCCCAAUUUGAAAAGCUAAGGUGCCACUCAAAUUAAGGGCUCUUGUUCUGUCUACAACUCCCCAAUAUGUGAAUACUAAUGACUACUUGCAAAAAGGGAGGUCUAGCAACGAAUAUUUAGCUCCUUAUUGAUGCAUCAGGUAUUGCAAUUGGUCUCACUUGUUUUUACAUUGUAAGUUAGCUUGGACAAUUGGGAACUACAUUUUGGUCUUUUUGAAAAGAAUAAAGUACAUCCAGAAUCUUUUUGAUUUUUAUUGGUUUAGAACAGAGAGCAAUUGGUGGUAAAAAAUGUGCUAAAGUUCCAUAGAAUUAUUAUUCUUUUCAG